UUGCUUCUCUUGAGAGCGGCGGACGGGUGAGUAAUGCCUAGGAAUCUGCCUGGUAGUGGGGGAUAACGUCCGGAAACGGACGCUAAUACCGCAUACGUCCUACGGGAGAAAGCAGGGGACCUUCGGGCCUUGCGCUAUCAGAUGAGCCUAGGUCGGAUUAGCUAGUUGGUGGGGUAAUGGCUCACCAAGGCGACGAUCCGUAACUGGUCUGAGAGGAUGAUCAGUCACACUGGAACUGAGACACGGUCCAGACUCCUACGGGAGGCAGCAGUGGGGAAUAUUGGACAAUGGGCGAAAGCCUGAUCCAGCCAUGCCGCGUGUGUGAAGAAGGUCUUCGGAUUGUAAAGCACUUUAAGUUGGGAGGAAGGGCAGUAAAUUAAUACUUUGCUGUUUUGACGUUACCGACAGAAUAAGCACCGGCUAACUCUGUGCCAGCAGCCGCGGUAAUACAGAGGGUGCAAGCGUUAAUCGGAAUUACUGGGCGUAAAGCGCGCGUAGGUGGUUCGUUAAGUUGGAUGUGAAAUCCCCGGGCUCAACCUGGGAACUGCAUUCAAAACUGACGAGCUAGAGUAUGGUAGAGGGUGGUGGAAUUUCCUGUGUAGCGGUGAAAUGCGUAGAUAUAGGAAGGAACACCAGUGGCGAAGGCGACCACCUGGACUGAUACUGACACUGA
rnacentral:rRNA from 1 species